GGUCACGGUUGUGACUCUGUAUGACUCCAGCAGGUCGACCCUCCACCAGGGGUUGGUCUCAGCCUCUGUUUGCGCACAGGAGCCGUCCUGGGGCAUCCCGCUUUGGUUCCCAUCGAUGGCCUUCUUGGCAGCAGUGGAACUGUUGAACGUGGAUGACUGAAUCGUCUUGCCUCUCAUAGCCACGUUCACUGAAAUCAUGGGCAAAGGCUUCAGCAACACAGAAGCCAUCUCCCACAAGAAGCAUCAGAAGGAGCAAACACAAUACCUUCAUUCUAGGAGAAGAAUCAAACCACUAUUAUGGGUGCACAGAUUUGUUUUAAAGAAUUUGAACAAUGUCUUCUCACACUACAGCCAUGAUGAAUCAUUCAUUUUACAAUAAUUAUCUCACUCAACAUGAAACAGUAAUGCUUUUUAUACAGUGCCUAAGUGUCAUUAUUAGAAGCAAAUAUAAAUGAUCACUGAAAGCACUGAAAUAAAUGUGGAUUCCAGGAGCAAGGAUACAGCAAAUACAUUCAAAUAUCCUUUGCAUUCAAGCUGGUAUGAACAAAGAAGAUAGCAAAAAACUGUACCAUACCCAUUUCUUUGUUUUCCUCUAAGCUAAUAACUACUCAAGAUGCUAUAACUACCAGAAGAAGACAUCAAACCUACCUCAUAGUGUGAUAUCUCUAUUGUUGUCUUGUUCAGGCUGUCGACAGAGCAUAUGGCUCCUGUGUGUGUAUGUGUGUGUGUGUCUGUGUGUAUAAGGGUAUGGAUGUGGUAUGGCUGAUUUUAACAUGCAUGGGGCAGGGUCCAUAUACUCCCUGAGGCUCAGCCUGCCAGAGCCUGUCUCUUCUGACCAAUAAAGUGUUUGCUUUCAAAUAGCCCUCAA